UACCCGGGCUACUCACUUGCUACAAUUGUCAGAACAAAGCGCUGCGAGACCGCAAGGUUUAGCCCAUCCCACAAAUUUGUUUUCAGUUCGGAUCGCAGUCUGCAACUCGACUGCGUGAAGCUGGAAUCGCUAGUAAUCGCGGAUCAGCAUGCCGCGGUGAAUACGUUCCCGGGCCUUGUACACACCGCCCGUCCACACCACGAGAGUUUGCAACACCCGAAGUCGGUGAGGUUAACCCCU
rnacentral:rRNA from 1 species